UACGUAGGGGGCGAGCGUUGUCCGGAGUUACUGGGCGUAAAGGGCAUGCAGGCGGUCAGACGCGUUUUUGUGUGACAGCGGAGGGCUUCACUCUCCGAGCAUACGAAAGACGGUGUGACUUGAGGGCUCGAGAGGGUCGUGGAAUUCCCGGUGUAGCGGUGAAAUGCGUAGAGAUCGGGAGGAACACCAGAGGCGAAGGCGGCGACCUGGACAAGCACUGACACUCA
rnacentral:rRNA from 1 species